GCUCUGGAGGACUAGUGGUUAGGCCACAGUGCUCUCACUGCUGUGGCCUGGGUUCGACUGCCAGCCAGGGAA
rnacentral:tRNA from 1 species